rnacentral:rRNA from 1 species
ACUCAAAUGAAUUGACGGGGUCUCGCACAAGCGGUGGAGCGUGUUGUUUAAUUCGAUGGUAAGCGUAGAACCUUACCAGGGUUUGACAUCCCGAUAGCCGUUUUCUGAAAGGAAAACUUCAUUUAGUUGGAUCGGUGACAGGUGAUGCAUGGCCGUCGUCAGCUCGUGUCGUGAGAUGUAUGGUUAAGUCCAUCAACGAGCGCAACCCUUAUGGUUAGUUGAAUUUCUCUAGCCAGACUGCCCCGGUAACGGGGAGGAAGGAGGGGAUGAUGUCAGGUCAGUAUUUCCCUUACACCCUGGGCGACAAACACGCUACAAUGGCCGGUACAAAGGGCAGCCAACCCGCGAGGGGGAGCAAAUCCCAUCAAAGCCGGUCUCAGUUCGGAUUGCAGGCUGAAACUCGCCUGCAUGAAGCUGGAAUCGCUAGUAACGGUAAGUCAGCACAUUACCGUGAAUACGUUCCCGAGACUUGUACACACCGCCCGU